rnacentral:rRNA from 1 species
GAGGAAUAUUGGUCAAUGGGCGAGAGCCUGAACCAGCCAAGUAGCGUGCAGGAUGACGGCCCUAUGGGUUGUAAACUGCUUUUAUGUGGGGAUAAAGUGAGCUACGUGUAGUUUAUUGCAGGUACCACAUGAAUAAGGACCGGCUAAUUCCGUGCCAGCAGCCGCGGUAAUACGGAAGGUCCAGGCGUUAUCCGGAUUUAUUGGGUUUAAAGGGAGCGUAGGCCGUGGAUUAAGCGUGUUGUGAAAUGUAGACGCUCAACGUCUGAAUUGCAGCGCGAACUGGUUCACUUGAGUAUGCACAACGUAGGCGGAAUUCGUCGUGUAGCGGUGAAAUGCUUAGAUAUGACGAAGAACUCCGAUUGCGAAGGCAGCUUACGGGAGCACAACUGACGCUGAAGCUCGAAGGUGCGGGUAUCAAACAGGAUUAGAUACCCUGGUAGUCCGCACAGUAAACGAUGGAUGCCCGUUGUUAGUUCACUUAAGAAUUAGCGACCAAGCGAAAGCAUUAAGCAUCCCACCUGGGGAGUACGCCGGCAACGGUG